GUCGUUAAGGCUUUAAAUAAACCUUUUAUAGUUUUAAGCAGGCGAAGCAACAUUAUUUGUUUGCCUCUCAUUUAGUGAAAUACACAAGUAUAUAUUUAAUUAUUAAAAUGACAUUGCUAAUUUCAUUCGAAUAAAACUGAAUUUUUGUGAAUUCAUCAUUAUGUUUCAUGUACAGUUCCAAUACUCACAAGGUGAAUGGAUGUUUUGCUGCCCUUUUAAGUCUAGCAAAGCGGUUCCUUCAGUUUCAGACUUAAAUGCAGAAUUGGCCAGAAUUUCUGCACGCUGUGCGCCUUUUUCAGGUGCCAAGCGUGCACAACCUGGUGAGACAGUCCUGAUUCCGCAACUCGACUUUUUUCCUUUUUUUUGUAGGUGGUAAUGACUGCGUCUUAGAUCAUAACACUCCUCACGUCCACAAAGUCACGCGCAGCUGGAUGAUAUAAAUAGUCGCCGAGCAUGUCCUUGGUCCUGAUGCAAUGUUCUGGUCAAAUGACUCGCGCGACAUGACCGCUGCCUUCCCAACGGCCAGGCUGUGGCAAGGAGAUCGGAAAAUAAGAGGCUCGCCAUUCUUUUAAGCAAAUAACCUUAAAUCGAGCCGUUUCACGUGCUUAAGCAGUUUCUAUCGAUCGAAAAAUAGAGAUGGAUACACACGUCCACUAAUCGCGGAAAUAUCGAUAAAUAUCGAACACACAUCGAUAACAGUCGCAAUAUACAUCCAACUCGCUUGGCAAACGAAGCGAUGAGUAUUCAUUCAGACUAAUCGAUAGCAAUUACAGGAGCAGCAACAUUUCGUCUAAAAGGACCAAUAAGGAAUCUUUAGAUUAGGCAAAAGUCAAAAUGGAAACUAUCAAUUUGUAGCCGCAACUUAAUUAGCUGAUUGCUUACUGACUGCCAAAAAACAAAGCGUCAACUCCCCCAUUCAAUGAAUUAUUCAAUAGAAGAGUAAAUGCAUGGUCAAGAGCAAAAUAAAAAAAGGAAUAAAUGUUCGUGUAGCAAUUGUU